AUUGAACGCUGGCGGCAGGCCUAACACAUGCAAGUCGAACGGUAGCACAGAGAGCUUGCUCUCGGGUGACGAGUGGCGGACGGGUGAGUAACGUCUGGGAAACUGCCCGAUGGAGGGGGAUAACUACUGGAAACGGUAGCUAAUACCGCAUAACGUCGCAAGACCAAAGCGGGGGACCUUCGGGCCUCACACCAUCGGAUGUGCCCAGAUGGGAUUAGCUAGUAGGUGGGGUAAUGGCUCACCUAGGCGACGAUCCCUAGCUGGUCUGAGAGGAUGACCAGCCACACUGAAACUGAGACACGGUCCAGACUCCUACGGGAGGCAGCAGUGGGGAAUAUUGCACAAUGGGCGCAAGCCUGAUGCAGCCAUGCCGCGUGUAUGAAGAAGGCCUUCGGGUUGUAAAGUACUUUCAGCGGGGAGGAAGGCGGUGGAGUUAAUAACUUCACCGAUUGACGUUACCCGCAGAAGAAGCACCGGCUAACUCCGUGCCAGCCGCCGCAGUAACAC
rnacentral:rRNA from 1 species